GAUGUCAACCAUGGAAGAAGCGAAUCGAGUGAAGAAGAUGUUGCUGGAAAUGUAGACCCACAAGAAAAUAAACCACUACAGAAAUCAAAUAUUAUAAAGUUUUUAUUUCAAUUCUUUUUAAUCCCAUUCUUCCUUCUUUGUAUUUCCAUUAAUUGAUUUCGCCAUAUUCAUGCUCAAUGAUGGUUACAAAUGCUGAACUAAAUCUGGAUAGUAUACAGCAGGAAGACGUGUUUCUUUUUAAAAUUGUUUCAUCUCACUUUUUGUUUAUUUAGGAAUUCAUGGUUCGUAUAAAAAAGAUCUUUAUUUAGAGGAGCAGUGGGACAUGCACUUGACCUCCAAUGUCUAUUUCGGAGAUGCUGGUAGUCGUGGGGAGAGUGGUGCUGAUCUGGUUGAAAAAAGGCAUAGUGAGGUCGCUUGCGAUGGAACAAAGACAGUGAGUUAGGUGGUUCUUCAAGCAGGCGAAGUUUAUUGUUCUUUAUUGAAGUUUCACU